rnacentral:rRNA from 1 species
CCUACGGGAGGCAGCAGUGGGGAAUAUUGGACAAUGGGGGCAACCCUGAUCCAGCCAUGCCGCGUGUGUGAAGAAGGCCCUCGGGUUGUAAAGCACUUUCAGUGAGGAAGAACGCCUGGUGGUUAAUACCCAUCAGGAAAGACAUCACUCACAGAAGAAGCACCGGCUAACUCCGUGCCAGCAGCCGCGGUAAUACGGAGGGUGCGAGCGUUAAUCGGAAUUACUGGGCGUAAAGCGCGCGUAGGUGGCUUGAUAAGCCGGUUGUGAAAGCCCCGGGCUCAACCUGGGAACGGCAUCCGGAACUGUCAAGCUAGAGUGCAGGAGAGGAAGGUAGAAUUCCCGGUGUAGCGGUGAAAUGCGUAGAGAUCGGGAGGAAUACCAGUGGCGAAGGCGGCCUUCUGGACUGACACUGACACUGAGGUGCGAAAGCGUGGGUAGCAAACAGGAUUAGAUACCAUAGUAGUC